UACGAAGGGGGCUAGCGUUGUUCGGAAUUACUGGGCGUAAAGGGCGCGUAGGCGGUGUGUCAAGUCAGGCGUGAAAGCCCCCGGCUCAACUGGGGAGGGUCACUCGAUACUGAUCGACUCGAAGGCAGAAGAGGGAAGCGGAAUUCCCGGUGUAGUGGUGAAAUGCGUAGAUAUCGGGAGGAACACCAGUGGCGAAGGCGGCUUUCUGGUCUGCUCUUGACGCUGAGGCGCGAAAGCUAGGGUAGCAAACGGG
rnacentral:rRNA from 1 species